CAGAACCAGAAGCCAAGUUUCCUCAGGGAAAGACAGUGCCACCGGGGAACACCGUCCCCACUGGCCACCGCGACACCUCCUCGGGUUUGCGUGUGAUACGGUGGAAAAUGCGAGCCACAGCACUCCCUUUCUGUUAAGACUUAAAUUACAUGCUUUGUACUUACUUGUGAGCUCUGACCAUCAAAGCCUUUUUGAAAAAUCUGAAAAAUGAAGAUGUGGCUCUGAAACCCAGC